rnacentral:rRNA from 1 species
GAUCAUGGCUCAGGAUGAACGCUAGCUACAGGCUUAACACAUGCAAGUCGAGGGGCAGCAUGAACUUAGCUUGCUAAGUUUGAUGGCGACCGGCGCACGGGUGGGUAACACGUAUCCAACCUGCCGAUGACUCGGGGAUAGCCUUUCGAAAGAAAGAUUAAUACCCGAUGGCAUAGUUCUUCCGCAUGGUAGAACUAUUAAAGGAUUUCGGUCAUCGAUGGGGAUGCGUUCCAUUAGGUUG